rnacentral:rRNA from 1 species
UGAGGAAUAUUGGUCAAUGGACGGAAGUCUGAACCAGCCAUGCCGCGUGAAGGAUGAAGGCGUUCUGCGUUGUAAACUUCUUUUAUCUGGGAAGAAACCACAGAUUUCUAUUUGUGUUGACGGUACCUGAGGAGGAAGCCACGGCUAACUACGUGCCAGCAGCCGCGGUAAUACGUAGGUGGCAAGCGUUGUCCGGAUUUACUGGGCGUAAAGAGUAUGUAGGCGGAUAUUUAAGUCAGAUGUGAAAUUCCCGGGCUUAACCUGGGAGCUGCAUUUGAUACUGGAUAUCUAGAGUGCAGGAGAGGAUAGUGGAAUUCCUAGUGUAGCGGUGAAAUGCGUAGAGAUUAGGAAGAACGCCAGUGGCGAAGGCGACUUUCUGGACUGUAACUGACGCUGAGAUACGAAAGCGUGGGGAGCAAACA